UACGUAGGGUGCAAGCGUUAAUCGGAAUUACUGGGCGUAAAGCGUGCGCAGGCGGUUGUGCAAGACAGAUGUGAAAUCCCCGGGCUCAACCUGGGAACUGCAUUUGUGACUGUACGGCUGGAGUGCGGCAGAGGGGGAUGGAAUUCCGCGUGUAGCAGUGAAAUGCGUAGAUAUGCGGAGGAACACCGAUGGCGAAGGCAAUCCCCUGGGCCUGCACUGACGCUCAUGCACGAAAGCGUGGGGAGC
rnacentral:rRNA from 1 species